AUUAAACGCUGGCGGCAUGCCUUACACAUGCAAGUCGAACGGCAGCACGGGGGCAACCCUGGUGGCGAGUGGCGAACGGGUGAGUAACGCAUCGGAACGUGCCCUGGGGUGGGGGAUAACGUAGCGAAAGUUACGCUAAUACCGCAUAUUCUGUGAGCAGGAAAGCAGGGGAUCGCAAGACCUUGCGCUCUGGGAGCGGCCGAUGUCGGAUUAGCUAGUUGGUGGGGUAAAGGCCUACCAAGGCGACGAUCCGUAGCGGGUCUGAGAGGAUGAUCCGCCACACUGGGACUGAGACACGGCCCAGACUCCUACGGGAGGCAGCAGUGGGGAAUUUUGGACAAUGGGCGCAAGCCUGAUCCAGCCAUGCCGCGUGAGUGAAGAAGGCC
rnacentral:rRNA from 1 species